rnacentral:pre_miRNA from 1 species
CACCACAAGUUGGUGAAGCUGCCAGCAUGAUCUGAUGAUGAUCGACCUCUCUCAUCUGUGUUCUUGAUUAAUUACGGAUCAAUCGAUCAGGUCAUGCUGUAGUUUCAUCUGCUGGUUGG